CAAGGAGCCAAAAGGCGGGUGGCCGGUCUAUGAAGCCUCCAUCAUCAAGCUAGCAGCCCAUGAAAUCGAAUGCAGAUCUUCCUGAUGUGAGAUUUACAUAAAUAUGUCAAAGUCUCAACCUCAUGCUGCCCUCCCCCAUCCUCCUAAACCUGUGGAUACAAAUGCAGAUUUCCUUAAUGUUCAAUGGUGCGUGUUCUUCUAAUGGCUGCCUUCCCACUGGAGGUUUUGAUCCACAGCAAUUUAAAAGGUAAACAGCUUUGAAAGUCAGUUCAAAUGGUUAGCUAAUAGUAUUCUAAAAAGCCUACAACUCUGUCACCAGUUUCUUUACCAAAAAGUACCCAUAAAAGUAUCUCUCAAUAGCAUAUCAUUGUAGUUCAAAUGUUUAGUUGUACAAAUAUCAGAUUUUAGGAAAUCUAAAACUAGUCAAACACUCAAAUGUUCAUGCUUUUUAUAGGACAGAGCAAAACGGACAUCGGCGCAAAGUGAAGAACUGCCCUUCAUAAGGACACUAUGACAGCCAUAUAUAUGGCAGUAAGGAAGAGGUUUCCCAAUGUGUCCAGAAGGGCUUUGAGGAUUGCAGUGAAAGCUGGGGGAACUGAGA